rnacentral:rRNA from 1 species
UACGAAGGGGGCUAGCGUUGUUCGGAAUUACUGGGCGUAAAGGGCGCGUAGGCGGUCCUGAUCGUCGGAUGUGAAAGGCCUGGGCUCAACCUGGGAAUGGCAAUGGAUACUGGCAAGCUAGAGUGCGGUAGAGGGUAGUGGAAUUCCCGGUGUAGCGGUGAAAUGCGUAGAGAUCGGGAGGAACACCAGUGGCGAAGGCGGCUACCUGGACCAGCACUGACACUGAGGCACGAAAGCGUGGGGAGCAAACAGG